UACAGAGGUGGCAAGCGUUGUUCGGAAUUACUGGGCGUAAAGGGCGCGUAGGCGGCCCUGUAAGUCCUGUGUGAAAUCCCCCGGCUCAACUGGGGAACUGCACAGGAUACUGCUUGGCUAGAGUUCGGGAGAGGGAAGCGGAAUUCCGGGUGUAGCGGUGAAAUGCGUAGAUAUCCGGAGGAACACCGGUGGCGAAGGCGGCUUCCUGGACCGACACUGACGCUGAGGCGCGAAAGCUAGGGUAGCAAACGGG
rnacentral:rRNA from 1 species